rnacentral:rRNA from 1 species
UACGGGGGGGGCAAGCGUUGUUCGGAAUUACUGGGCGUAAAGGGUGCGUAGGUGGCCAGGUAAGUCGGAUGUGAAAGCUCGGAGCUCAACUCCGAAAUGGCAUUGGAAACUGCCUGGCUCGAGGGUUGGAGGGGGGACUGGAAUACUUGGUGUAGCAGUGAAAUGCGUAGAUAUCAAGUGGAACACCAGUGGCGAAGGCGAGUCCCUAGACAACUCCUGACACUGAGGCACGAAAGCUAGGGGAGCAAACAGG